UGCUGCUAGUCAGACAAAGGAAGCAAUCUGAAGACAUCACUCUGGAUCUCUGAUCACCUCCCAUGAGGCUGUCAUUAUUUUUUACA